CGAAAGGUAUGCUAAUACGGGAUAAUAUAUUUGAGAGGCAUCUCUUGAAUAUCAAAGGUGAGCCAGUACAGGAUGGACCCGCGUCUGAUUAGCUAGUUGGUAAGGUAACGGCUUACCAAGGCGACGAUCAGUAGCCGACCUGAGAGGGUGAUCGGCCACAUUGGAACUGAGACACGGUCCAAACUCCUACGGGAGGCAGCAGUGGGGAAUAUUGCACAAUGGGCGAAAGCCUGAUGCAGCAACGCCGCGUGAGUGAUGAAGGCCUUCGGGUCGUAAAACUCUGUCCUCAAGGAAGAUAAUGACGGUACUUGAGGAGGAAGCCCCGGCUAA
rnacentral:rRNA from 1 species